AUUGAACGCUGGCGGCAGGCCUAACACAUGCAAGUCGAGCGGCAGCGGGAAAGCAGCUUGCUACUUUUGCCGGCGAGCGGCGGACGGGUGAGUAAUGCCUGGGAAAUUGCCCAGUCGAGGGGGAUAACAGUUGGAAACGACUGCUAAUACCGCAUACGCCCUACGGGGGAAAGCAGGGGACCUUCGGGCCUUGCGCGAUUGGAUAUGCCCAGGUGGGAUUAGCUAGUUGGUGAGGUAAUGGCUCACCAAGGCGACGAUCCCUCGCUGGUCUGUGAGGAUGAUCAGCCACACUGGAAAUGAGAAACGGUCCAGAAUCCUACGGGGGGCAGCAGUGGGGAAUAUUGCACAAAGGGGGAAACCCUGAUGCAGCCAUGCCGCGUGUGUGAAGAAGGCCUUCGGGUUGUAAAGCACUUUCAGCGAGGAGGAAAGGUCAGUAGCUAAUAUCUGCUGGCUGUGACGUUACUCGCAGAAGAAGCACCGGCUAACUCCGUGCCAGCCGCCGCGGUA
rnacentral:rRNA from 1 species